GAGCUGAGUAGGGAUGUAAAAGUGAGGCUCUUGGAUCAGGAGGGUGCUUCAAUUUGGGGUCUCUCAGCUCCAUGUGUAGACCUGAUAUUUAGGGAAGUUUACUUUUGAAGUGCCAUUUCGAUUGGGUUGACCCUCUCUACAAGGGAUUCCCCUCUCCUUCUGGAAGCUUUUGUUGCAGUUAGAUUUGAGCAUGGCUCUCCCUGCUUCUAGAGCUCCCUGGGAGGCCUCAUUCAGAGUCACAAAACGUUGGGUGGGAAGAAAGAUCCUGCUUUUCUGACCAGGGGAAUUGUAAAUGUGCAUCAAGAUGGAAACCACAGCUCUUGUGCUUGCCUGGAGAACCCUUCUUGUUUCAUGCUCAACAGAAGUCAGCAGUGACCUGUGCUGGAGUGCAGCGAUCCUGGCUGUUGUUCUCCAAUCUCAGUACCUCCUAGAUGCUGCAGGGCAGGUACCAAUCAGCUGGGCUCUAGUCUAUUUUAAGCACAAGGACGGCAGGUUUUUUUAAUUUCCUGAAAGCACAGAAAUUACCAUGACAGCCAGUCCUGCAGUGGGGAGAUGAAAGAGAAGCUGGUGACACAAAGCGAAUAAAACCAAGCAGACAUUGCAUGUAUUUACCAGUCACAUCCAUAGGCUGGACCAGCAAGCAUGGGCUUCUAUAGAAAUCAGUGAGGCGUAAGGCUUGUAAUGCUCACCUGACCUGAUCAGAGGUCUGUUAUUCCCAGAAGAUGCUAUUACUACUCUAUUUCACCAGCCAACAGAUCUUACAGUUUCUAAUUUGAAGACUGAAGUCAGGGCUGCCAGCAAGGCUGAGUAUUAAGUGUGGAUGCUUUUUCUUUUUGUGGAGCAAAGGGAAAAAAGUUAUCAAAACUCCUACUGUAGCCCAGUCCUUCCUGAAGUAACUCUUGUGAAGGUCCAACAAGGGUGGAUCUGAUUUUUUUUUUUUCCCCUUCUGACGUUCUGCCUAUUGUACCUUGUUAUUUCACACUAAACUACCUCCUGAAGAAUAUCAGAACUCCCUGGUAAUUUCCAUCAGCACUGAUUUUUGAUGAAAACCUGCAUUCUCAAUCCAAGGUACUUCCCUGUAGAACAUGAAUCAUUUGCUGAGAAAAUGCUCAGAGGUUUCAAGUAAAGAUCCAUCCCUUGGAGAGAUUUCUCUUCUAAAUGUCAUCACAAUCUCACAGGAGCUGUGGUUUAAGUGCCGCAUCCUUCUGUUUGCCUCUGCCCCCAGGAUGUUUCCUGUAAAACACCCGAGGUGUCA